rnacentral:misc_RNA from 1 species
CGCACCUUGCGCUCCUUGGUAUUCCGAGGAGCAUGCCUGUUUGAGCGUCGUGAAUCUCUCAACCCAUCUAGUCUUGAUGGGCUUGGAAUUGGAGGCCUUUGCCGGCGAUGGUCGGCUCCUCUCAAAUGCAUUAGCUGGGCUUUAGCUCGGAGGAACCGGUCGGUGUGAUAAUUAUCUAUGCCGUCUGGAGUACUUCGGAUCCCGCUCCUAAUCGUCCAUUCAACGGGUCUGACCCGGGACUACGACCUUGAAUCUGACCUCAAAUCAGGUAGGAUUACCCGCUGAACUUAA